rnacentral:rRNA from 1 species
CCAGAGAAGAAGUCCUGACGGUAUCUGGGGAAUAAGCAUCGGCUAACUCUGUGCCAGCAGCCGCGGUAAGACAGAGGAUGCAAGCGUUAUCCGGAAUGAUUGGGCGUAAAGCGUCUGUAGGUGGCUUCUUAAGUCCGCUGUCAAAUCCCAGGGUUUAACCCGGGCCAGGCGGUGGAGACUACUAAGCUUGAGUACGGUAGGGGCAGAGGGAAUUUCCGGGGGAGCGGUGAAAUGCGUAGAGCUCGG